UGGAAUAAUCCAGUCACGGUUAAUAAUUGCCGUCUAUUUGGAAUUAAUCGGGAGGAUCUGAACCAAGGUGAGUGAUGUGUACCAGUCAUGACAAUAGAACUAAUGAUAUCUGAGGAUUACAGUGUUAAAACACAGGAAGAAGAGCUCCACAGAGGAAGGAGAAAAAAAUCCCCGUCAAUAGUAUCAGAUGCAGGAGUACAAUAUCAUGAGCCGAGACAAGAGAGAACUGUCUCUGGAAUAUACUGGCUACGCAAAGACAAACAAAAGGGAGAGAUUAAUUAAACAGGACCAGAAAACAUUCAGAACAACAGAAAAGAGAGUUAGGAAGCAUCAAUCAUGGGGGCUGGAAAACAAAGUGGACAACUAAGAUGGUGCUUCUGACAACUUAGUACUACAUGUAGUAUAAUCAGGCUCAGUAGAACCUGGGCAUCAAAGUCAU